UAUCUCUCCGUACGGGGAAGGAUGAGAAGCUUCGACUAAGGUUCGAUUCGAGCGCAGCGAGAAAGCGUUGCCGCAGGCAACGACCCGAAG
rnacentral:sRNA from 2 species